UCACCCCCAGAUCUGCGUGCGGGAACCCAGGUGCAGGUCAUCGAGGUGCACAAGUACCAGGAGUGCAGCCGGCCCCAGAUCGGGAAGUGGAUCCGGUGCCUGGCGACGGAUUCUGAUUGGAUGGUGUGCGGGGGUGGCCCUGCGCUGGCCCUGUGGCACCUGCGCUC